rnacentral:rRNA from 1 species
AGUGAACGCUGGCGGCAGGUCUAACACAUGCAAGUCGAACGGCAGCACAGGAGAGCUUGCUCUCUGGGUGGCGAGUGGCGGACGGGUGAGGAAUAUAUCGGAAUCUACCCUUUCGUGGGGGAUAACGUAGGGAAACUUACGCUAAUACCGCAUACGAACUGAGGUUGAAAGCGGCGGACCGCAAGGCGUCGCGCGGAUGGAUGAGCCGAUAUCCGAUUAGCUAGUUGGCGGGGUAAAGGCCCACCAAGGCGACGAUCGGUAGCUGGUCUGAGAGGAUGAUCAGCCACACUGGAACUGAGACACGGUCCAGACUCCUACGGGAGGCAGCAGUGGGGAAUAUUGGACAAUGGGCGCAAGCCUGAUUCAGCCAUGCCGCGUGUGUGAAGAAGGCCUUCGGGUUGUAAAGCACUUUUGUUGGGAAAGAAAAGCGGUCGGUUAAUACCCGGUCGUUCUGACGGUACCCAAAGAAUAAGCACCGGCUAACUUCGUGCCAGCCGCCGCCGUAA